AUUGCUCCCAUAGACAUUCUACACCAUUGUCUAGACAUCUUAAAAAAUAUCCAAUUUUCAGCUUUGAACUGUUUAUUACUUAUUUUGUAUUAUGUACUUAAUUUGUUCUAUGUUAAUCAUAUGAGAACUCUAACCCGUCACCUGCAAACUGUUUAGAACGCGCUUGUCGGACAAUAACAGCAUUAUAUAUUAUUAUGUCUAAAUAUAUAGUACGCUCGUACAAAAUAUAAGAAAGAAAUCUUCGUUCGAAUUAUACAAUAAUAAUAAUAACAAUAAUAUAAUAGUAUUAUGCGCGUUUGUCUCUCCUAUCGCGAGUCUCUCAUAUACGUCAAACCAGCUUCAAUGUUUCAAUGUACCUCUUUACUCGUAGUUACAUUAUUGUCAUGUGCCUACAUGGCUACAUCCGACGCAUAGGCAUAUGAUACUCAUCAUCAUAUUCGUGCACAAUACGCGUCAACAAUGAAGCGCGCAGUGAAUCGUGUUGCGAGUCAAACUAUAUAUAAUAUUCCGACUGCGCUGUAAAGACACGAUUUUGUUUUGUUAACAGCGUAGUUAUGUACUUAAAAGAAAAAAAACUUCUACAAUAAUACGACUCUAUACGUCGUUGUUCUUUUAUUUCUCGCGUACAUUGCAUAAGUUGUGCAUGUGCAGAGCGAUUAUAUUUUAGUAGAGAAAUAUUGCGUUUACGUGCUUUACGUCUGCAAGCAACCCUCCCAUCACCGUCAUUUAGAUUUUCUUAUAAAUCUGUCUGCUGUAGCAGAGGCCAGUUGCUGACGUCACGCGUGUCACGUCUGUUUACGUUUGUUUGUUUAUUUAUUAUAUUAUCAUCACAAUAAUUAACGACUUUCGAUGGGCCCGUGUGUAUAUAAGACACGACGCGUUUUGAAGAAGAAAAAAGUCGUACUCAAGCCGCGAAAUUAACUGCGUGUAUAUAUUAUGCUAAUGCGUGUUGUCGCCCCCGUUGACAAUUACAUUUCGUUAAAAUAAAAAUGUUCUAUAAAAAUGUGAAUGAAAUCUCGAGCUAAAGUGAAAUACGACAAUAUACACAAACACCAUAUUAUAAUAUUUAUAUUUAUGUAUUAUGCGUGUAUACGCCGUGAAACAGUCUAUUUAGUAUUUACGUUUUCAUGAAAUAUUCAACAUUUAAGUAGUUGUUUACCUUAAUUGUUUACACGAGUCUUGCGGAUAAAAAUAAAAAAGUUCUAAUUGUUUAAUUUUGUUGAACGCUGUAUACUUUUCAUUGUGUAUAUGCGCUCCACUCCGUGUACAUAACAAAUAUUUAAACGCGUUUCUAUGCAUUGAUAUAUAUAUAUUAUAUAUAGGUAUAAGAUAUAUAAUAUAUAAUAUUAUAUAAUUCGCAUUUACUUUAUCGACUUACUUAGGUACAUAAAAUAACGACUUUGCGUGCAAUUUUUUUCCUGACAGGAAAUAGGCGGAAAAGAGGUUUCACAACUCGUCAAGAAUAAAAAAAAAUACAUUUGAGCAUAUCGAAUAUAGGGAAUAAGAAUAGUAUAUAUUAUUUUAUGAUUACUAUGAAAAUCAUUUUAUUAUUAUAUACCUACUUGAAAUCAAAACACGACCGACAACUACAUUAUCGUGACAUCGUCUGCUGUUGCAAGAUUUAUGGGUCGUACGGGACGUUUACGGGUUCUUGACAGAUGGUCGCGUGGACACAUUUUUUUUUCAUUGCACUGUAUUAUAUACAGAUAUAUAAAAUGAGUCGUCACCGCGCAGAUUUCGGUUUGACGGUGGACCCAGGAAAAAAACCCGAAACAGUCGGGUGUAUACAUAUAUUAUAUUAUAUUAUCUACCUAACCUAUUCCACCUGUACUGCAGCAGAUAAAGUCAAAUAAAACGUUUUUAUUAUUAUUAUUUUCGGAAAGAAUCUACCGUGUGUUUCACGAUUGCAUAUCGCGUAUAUUAUGCGCGCCGUAAAAUAAUAUAACAUGGGAUUAUCGUCUUGACCGAUCUGCGCGGACAUUUUUUUCCUUCGAAAAACGCGAUUUAUUGUCCGGUCGGCGUGUGUACACAAUUGAGACACAAAACCGACAUGCUCUAAAUCACAAGUUCGUGAUCUUUGGUCACCGGCCACCACGUCCACUGGAACCAGUGCAUCUCAGUGUAUGCAUGUAGGUACGUUUAUUUCGCUAUCACGAUUACGACGCGCCACAAAAUGGUUAUAUUAUAGAAUAAUAUUAAAUGUGUUUAACGGUGAGACGAGCGGUCACGUGCUUUAGUUGUGUAGCGUGUAUAAUAUAGUGUAUACCUUAUACCGCGAUUAUUAAAACGAAUGAAAAUAUAUAGGUAUUGUAGUAAGCCGCCGGAGUCGUCUCACUAUUUUUCUUUUCUAUUUUAACUUAUCUACAUGUACUACAAUGUCCUUCGCUUUUAAAUAUUUUAUUAGCAUACUCGUAGCGAUACGCAAUUAAUUCUGAUGGCAAUUUCCAAGAAUCAAAGCGUAUGGGAAAACACAGUCACAAACGACUUUUAUUUAACACUUUUUGACAAUCAAGCCAUGCACAUAAUUCAUAGAUGCGCACGCCUUGAUUUAAUAGCACAACAACAAGUCCAAUCCAGUGUCAAGUGUCUUGGGCGCAAAACCACUUUUGCAGCUACGAUGACAACAUUCUAUAACACACCUUUUUGUCCAUUUCCUAGUCUCUAUCAUGUACAACCAGGGGGUACAGAGAACCAUAUAAAUACAGGUCUCUGUCCGUCUUAAAAUUUAGAAUUAGUUUCACAUUCGCAUAGAGCUAGUCUAUGUCCGAAUUUCUAAGAUUAACUUUUUCUCGGGCAGCUACUUAACGUGCUGUCCUCAAAUUCUUAUACACUUGUUUUUAUUGUAACAAAUUAUAACUUUAAUUUUAAUAAACUCUUGUAUUAACAUUGUGUCUUUGUCUCACUUUUAAAAACCGUAAUCUUUUCCCAACAACUUGAUCCAACUGCAGAUGUCAAGCACUCAUUUAUAAACGAUAGUGAGAGAUCACUACACGUUUUGGGUGUCAGGUGUGGGGUCACCUGAAAGAAGAAUUUUGGUAUCCAACCCAAAAUCAAGUACAUCAGCGGACCUCGAGUGUGUCAACAUCAGGAUCAACGGAAGGAGAUCACGGAUAAGUUGCGACAAGUCAACAAAUCGAGCCUAGCAGCGAAGCGAGCCGCAGCGCAGUUUUCAAAGCAGGACAACCACAGGGCCAGACAAACAAUGAACACUUUAAUUAAACAACAUAUUUUCCUAAAGGAACUUAGCGCCGUAAUAGGACGCGAACAGCACAACGCUGAUGUUUUAGUUCACGACGAAAUACCAAAUUGUUUAUUAAAACAUAUCGAUCUAGCGAACAAAAAUUUACUUCAAACUUUUUCAGCUGAAGAAAUUUUAAACAUAACUAGAACACUAAACCAUUUUACACACGACAUGACAAAAAGCCAACGUCCACUUACAAAACCUUUUUGUCAUUACUUGAAAACUUAUAUAGACAAUGCCGAAGACACAACAGACAUAUUUGACUAUGUUAGACUUACGUUUCUGUAAUCUAGUCUUGUUCUAAACCUCUCAAUCUGUUUCCUUCUGUCUAUUAUUUUCAUUUAAUUUUCUAUUUC